ACAUAUGAAUAGUUAUGCUAAAGAAUCAUAGAAGGCAAUGAAACUAAAACCUGCUCAUAAUAAUUUUCAGUCUAGGUUUUGAAUUGCUGUGUUGGGAGUCCUAUGGCCAACUCAUCACUAAAGGAUGUUGGUAUCCCAGACAGGGAAGGACCAUCCUCUAUUUCUGCUCAUGACAUGGCUUUUAUGAAUAGCCAAUUGUCUAAAUACCUUGAAAAGUUAUGGUGAUACACCAAACAUUAUUCUUGUGAAACCUAUAUGUAUGCCAAAAUUCCUUUGAGUGCCCUUGAUAGAGGCAGGGUCCCUGUGUGGUGUGUCUGCUCUCAUGCUGCUGGUCCCAGAAGUGCUGCAUGCAAUAGUGCUGGAGCUCAGGAGAAGCAGUGUCUGCAAGGCAUGACUGUUCUGCAGAGCAGAGCAGGGCCAGGAGGCACAGAGUUGUUGCUCCACCUUCCUGAAAAAAAACACCCCAACAAACAGAUCUCCAGGAAAAUCAUGCAGAUAUUAUUGAUUUGUCAGAAACAUUCCAUUAAGUAAAUGAUUAAAAAUUAAGGAAUUCCUUUGUCUUUACAAAUUAAUGUGUUUGUAGUGCACUGUUAUAUAAUAUAUAAAAGAAUGUGCAAAUACGUAUGUAGUUCCUGCUCAUAUUGCUGUUGUUGUCAUCAUUGCUAUCUUUUUCCCAGAAACAGAUUUGAAGUCCUUCUGGCUUCUUCCCUUUUCUGAGUUAACCAGAGUCUUGGGCAGCCUGCCAAGCAGAUGAGAUUUCUAACUCCUAACUAGUUUGUGCUGAUUGUCCCCCCACGCCUGUGGUCUAUUACCUUUCUCUCACACAGAGGCAAAGUUUUAGUGCAUUGGUGUGAGCCUUGAGUCAAAAUAAGGUGCUCCAGCCUGUGUCCUCCUGUACAUAACACCUCACCAGCCAGUGCUCAUCUUAGAUCUCCAAAUCCCCUUUGUACUUCCAUGGCAUCUAUGUGCUAGACAGUGUGACAGACUGUUGACAUUCUGGAUGUUGCUAAAACACUAGCAUUAUGUUGUGAUAAAGGAGGUAAUACCACCAUUUAUUUCCAAGUUUCUGUUGGUGAGGAAAGAGACAUAUCUCCCCAGUCCCUAUGAAGUGUAUUGAGUUUUAUAUUUGAACUAUUACUACAGGGCAGCAGAAAAGUCUAGGUGAGAGGUGAGAGCCCAGUAUCAGUAAUAUAGACACUGUGGAGUUCUGUAGAGAGAACCUGCCCUUUAUGUAGGUAUUUAACAUUAGGAAACAUUUGUUCACAAGAGCAAAAAGGCCCAGUGGAAAAGCAUCUUUUCAACUGGCAUAUUUUCAACUAUUUCUGAUGAAUUAAACUGACCUUUAGAAAUACACGUCUGGGCUGGCACCGAAGCCAGAGUUUCUAUUUUUUUAGUGUGUGUGUAUACACGAAGGGAGCAGCGAGCAGGGUGACGAGCUAUUGUUUGUGGCCAGGCAGGUGCUGCAGCAGGGGCGCCAGGCGAUGGCAGCUCCCCCGCCGCGCUCCUGCCGCGCAGAGCCGCGCUGGGCCGGCAGCGCUGCCAAGGCGCUCGGGGCAGGGAACACCGUGAUCUUCCUCAAGGCUGCUCUGGCACUUCAGUCAUCUGAAAGGUGGACUUUUGACAUUUUUGUACCAUCAGAGGUGUGAUGGAAAAGAAACUGUCUUGUGUCUAAAGUGUUGCACGUCCAUUGACGAGAGGACUAGAUGUAGGAUCUUGCCACAGGAACGGGACUGUUGCCAGGAAGUAGCAAUGAAGAAGGAGCACAAAGCCUUUACAUAUUUAUUUGCCUGGUAUCUCCUAAACACAUAUGCAUGAUGAAGACUCAAGGCUAGAACAAGUACUCAGAUCAGACCAUCAAGCUAUCAGCUAAACUUCAAUUAAAUGUUAAGCACUUUAAAAAUUCGUUUGGACUUUUGAACUACACUGCAGUAUAAUGAAUAUUUUUCCUUUUUUUAAAUUUUCUGUGCUAAAAAAGAAUAAUUGCCUUUGUUGGAACUAACAGUAGCUGGCAGGUAUAUAAAAAUUUUGUUAGUUAAGAGAUGUUUGAAGGUUGCUUAUAGUUACCUGUUGUCUCAGUUAUGUGAAAGACUGGGAAGAAAGAAACUCAACUGAUGCAAAAAAAAAAAAAAAAAUCUUCAAUCUAUUUGGUUAGAUUGAUUAGUUAAUAGCGGGAGACAAAAAAAGUAAGUAUAAGAAAUAGCAUAUGUAUUGCAUGUUUGGAGUGGAGCAACAGAUUGUUUCAGGAUAAGUAUAGCUAUAAAUCUUUUGCAAUGAUUACUAAACCUUGUAACAACCACAAAGAAAAAGAAUGUCCAUGCUGUUAUUUGGCAACUGAAUGCCAUUGUGAAAUUUCCAACAGGUUCACUCAAAGAAUCAGGAAAAGAGUGCUGCUCUAAUGGCUGCCUGUCACUUGUUUGGUGUUCAACUGUGAUGGGAAGAUUUCAGAAAAAGACUCUGCCUGUUUUUUUUAACUUUCUGAAGCAAGAGUUAAAAAAAUCUCAUGAUUUUGCAUCAUAAAGGGCAGAAGGGCAGAAGCUGGAAAAAUUAAUGUAUACCAGAUUCUGCAGAAGCAUUAAACAGGCAAUUCUCCAUCUGAAGGAAAAAGACAUAGUACGAUACUGAAAAGCAGUAUUUCCUUACAAACUGUCUGUCUUAUAUUCUGUAUUAAAGCAGACGCUUGUAAAAUUUAGAAAAAAACCCAACUGUUUAAUAUAUUGUUAAAAAAUAUAGACUAAUGCUCAGAAAAACUUUAUUUUUUUUUUUCAAUCUUUGUAUACUUUUGAGCUGACAUAUCCCAUAUUUUUUUAAAAAAAACCUGCAGUAAUGACUUGAAUCCUGAAUUGGUCAGGCAGAAAAUUAAUUCCUUUAUAUUGCUGUGUAUCUUUAUAAGGAUAGUCUCUAUGACAAAAGUGAAUGCCAAAGAAAAGAUAUGAUCUAUGUUUAUUCCUAAGGAAACCUGUACUCUGCCUACAUAUGUUUAUAAAGCUACUAUUGCCUCCUACCUGGUAUCUUAUUUUUGAAGUCUCUCCUUUCAGUUGCCAGGUGAUUGUUUCGUUUUCAUCACUGGGAAUAGCAAAAUAUUUUAGAUGAUGCACUGCAAUAUCAAUCCACUACAUAGGCAAGCCAGAGGUACACUACUUAAGUGAAAAUUCUGCAUUAAAAUACUGGAUUUUUUUUUUUUUAAGAACAAUAAGGCCAGGAUUACACCAUCUAUUUAUAAGAGUAAUUUAUCUAGAUUUUGACAAAUAGUUAGAAAAUAUUUGAGAUUCAGUGCAGCUCUACUACAAAAAGAAAAAACACCUCUUCUUGGGCCAUUAGUGGUGGCUAUUCUAAAGUUAUCAAUCAACUGAGCUCAUUUAGUCUAUAAAACUAGGGGACAUGAAAUUAAAAAAAGGCAGAUAAAGGCUCUUGACACAUAGGUAAAAGAGGUACAGAAAUAAGAUUGUCUAUCUUAGCUCAAGCAAGUGGAGAUUGCAGUAAAGCAAUGUUUCCUCAGAUCACUGUCUACAUGUGACACAUGUUCAAUGACAGAAGGGAAUGUCAAAGAAAAGAGAGGAUCUGUGAGUGGAUAGGAAAUAGAUGAGAGCAUUUUCCCAUCUCUUCCAGAAAUCUAAUAUAAGAAAGGAAAUUUAAGUCAGCCGUAGGAAUAUUCAGCCUGCCUCAGAGCAGGAGCUUUAGACAUUUUAUCAGGGUUAAGAUGGAUAGAGAUCAGACACAGAAAAAACCCACCCCAAAAUCUAAAAAUUGGCCUACUUGGUUUAUUCUCCUGGGAAUUUCUGAGAGCUCCUGAAAGAACAGUGUCCUUGGCUGUUAUUCACACCAAAGAGUUUUUCCUGGGACCUCUCCACAGCCAUUCUCUGUCUCAAAAACAGCACAAAAUGGCUACAGCAGGUGGUAAAAGCUUUCUGGUAAUCUUUUAUUCUGCUGUGUUUCCAGGUGAUAAUUGAGAAGCACAGUUCAUUCUUAUGGCUCUGUGAUUUUUCUGGCUCUUCUGCGGUAUUUGUAACCUGGAAAUUUUCCUUGUGAACUCUUUGCACACAUGCUUCUUCCCACCUGCCCUCAGCCCUUACUCAUGUUCCCAGUUUGGAGCUGUUGUUGCCCCUGGAGAGCUGCACAGGGUGAGGCCCCAUCACCAGUGCUGUUGCUAAUCAGCUGUGUGAAGGAUAAUUUUAAAUUGCCCAAAUACAUAUUUGUGUGUUUUUGCUUUCAGUAGUGUGUUAAAAACCUGCAAAGCAGAUCUGUAUCUAAGAGAUAAAAACAAAAAACACAGAAUAAAAAAAUAGGUUACUCCAGACAUCAGCAUUUCCGAUUUAAACUAGUACCUUCCAGGAAGAUGGGCAAAUAAAGUGGGUGAAGACAAAUUUCCUAGGCAAAUUCCAACAAAAAUACCCAGAAUUGUGCCAAGAGCAAGACUGACACUAUAAAUCUUAAUUAAUUCAAAGAUAAUACAUUAAUAUAGUCCACCCCAAAUUUUCCUAUUCUUCAGUAGCCCAUGAAUCAAUAUUUGUAAAAUGCUUUGAAGAGGACAAGCACUGUUUAAAUACCACAUAUUAGUCACUGAUACUCUGGGUAGUGUUGUUGACUUGGUUUGAAGAGUUCCGUGUGAUGACUGUUUUAAAAUAAAUUACUGGUGAAAUGACAA